rnacentral:rRNA from 1 species
AUGGGAGCUUUCCCUUCACCGCCCCCAUGGGGGUGGUCCACAGGGUUCAUAACUACCCCUCUUACUAUGGGGCGUUUAAGCCAACACUUAGAUCCGGCUCUACCCAAACUUUUUUGGUUCACCCCAACAUUACCCACUUGUCCGACUGUUGCUAAGCAGUUUUGGGAUACUAAACGGACCUCCCCAAAUGGUAAUCUUAAAGUGGCCGAUUUACCCUCUUUUGCAAUGAGUUUCGCUACAGCACCUGCUGCUCUAGCAAAUUGCCCACCCCUUCCACGUGUGAUUUCUAUGUUAUGCAUGGCCGUGCCUAAGGGCAUAUCGGUUGAAGUAGAUUCUUCUUUUCUCUCAAAAAACCCCUUCCCAAACUAUACAAGCUUCUUCCAAAGCAUACGGCUUUCUAGAUGUAUAUGA